CCUCAGUAGUUAGAUAACAAAACUACUCGCCAGAAUACUACAAGCAACAGCUUGAAACUCAAAGGACUUGACGGUGCUUUACAUCCCCCUAGAGGAGCCUGUUCCAUAAUCGAUAAACCCCGAUCCACCCUACCCUCUCUUGCUCAGCCUAUAUACCGCCAUCUUCAGCAAACCCUAAUGAGGGCCACAAAGUGAGCGCAAACGCCACCACCGCGAAUACGUUAGGUCAAGGUGUAGCCCAUGAGACGGUAAAAAAUGGGCUACAUUUUCUAUUUCAGAAAACCCACGAAAACCCUUAUGAAACUUAAGGGUCCNAGGAGGAUUUAGCAGUAAAUUAAGAAUAGAGUGCUUAAUUGAACCAGGCCAUAAAGCG
rnacentral:rRNA from 1 species